CCUACGGGUGGCAGCAGUGGGGAAUUUUGGACAAUGGGGGCAACCCUGAUCCAGCCAUGCCGCGUGUGUGAAGAAGGCCUUCGGGUUGUAAAGCACUUUUGUCAGGAACGAAACGGUCUGCACUAAUACUGCGGACUAAUGACGGUACCUGAAGAAUAAGCACCGGCUAACUACGUGCCAGCAGCCGCGGUAAUACGUAGGGUGCAAGCGUUAAUCGGAAUUACUGGGCGUAAAGCGUGCGCAGGCGGUUGUGUAAGACAGAUGUGAAAUCCCCGGGCUUAACCUGGGAACUGCAUUUGUGACUGCACGGCUAGAGUGUGUCAGAGGGGGGUAGAAUUCCACGUGUAGCAGUGAAAUGCGUAGAGAUGUGGAGGAAUACCGAUGGCGAAGGCAGCCCCCUGGGAUAACACUGACGCUCAUGCACGAAAGCGUGGGGAGCAAACAGGAUUAGAUACCCUAGUAGUC
rnacentral:rRNA from 1 species